rnacentral:misc_RNA from 1 species
GCAAACUUGGUCAUUUAGAGGAAGUAAAAGUCGUAACAAGGUUUCCGUAGGUGAACCUGCGGAAGGAUCAUUACAGUAUUCUAUUGCCUGCGCUUAAUUGCGCGGCGAUAAACCUUACACAACGUGUUUUUUUAUUAUGAACUAUUACUUUGGUCUGGCUAAGAAAUUAGUUGGGCCAGAGGUGAUUUAAACUUCAAUUUUAUUGAAUUGUUAUUUUAAUUUUUGUCAAUUUGUUGAUUAAAUUCAAAACAAUCUUCAAAACUUUCAACAACGGAUCUCUUGGUUCUCGCAUCGAUGAAGAACGCAGC